CCCUCGCCCCCUCYUGCGGGCGGGGACCUCGCGUCUCCUGCCYGCAAACCGAACCCCGGCGCGGAACGCGCCAAGGAAAUCUAACCAAGAGAGCCAUGCCGGAGGCCCCGGACACGGUGCGCCCCCGKMGUCGGCGUCUUAUGAAUUAUUC
rnacentral:misc_RNA from 1 species